rnacentral:rRNA from 1 species
AUACGUAGGGGGCUAGCGUUAUCCGGAAUUACUGGGCGUAAAGGGUGCGUAGGUGGUUUCUUAAGUCAGAAGUGAAAGGCUACGGCUCAACCGUAGUAAGCUUUUGAAACUAAGAGACUUGAGUGCAGGAGAGGAGAGUAGAAUUCCUAGUGUAGCGGUGAAAUGCGUAGAUAUUAGGAGGAAUACCAGUUGCGAAGGCGGCUCUCUGGACUGUAACUGACACUGAGGCACGAAAGCGUGGGGAGCAAACAGGAUUAAAUACCCUGGUAGUCCACGCCGUAAACGAUGAGUACUAGCUGUCGGGGGUUACCCCCCUCGGUGGCGCAGCUAACGCAUUAAGUACUCCGCCUGGGAAGUACGCUCGCAAGUGUGAAACUCAAAUGAAUUGACGGGG